UUACUCACCGUGCAGCUCAAGCAGCACGAGAGUGGCCUGUGACGUGGAGGCAGAUGGCGUCCGAGAGAGACUCUCAGAGCAACACUACAACAGACUUGUGUUCUGCAUCACAAAGACAUCUUGUCACCUGGUCCCCAGCUGCUCUUCCACACAAACACCACGCCCUGUGGUGGCUGUGGAACCUCCCCUCUCCACUGUUAAGACACACCAUUACCUGGUUAAUCCACAUUUUGCUCAGGUCUUCAUUAGUAAAUUUACCAUGGUGAAAAAUAAAGCCC
rnacentral:lncRNA from 1 species